rnacentral:rRNA from 1 species
UGGGGAAUUUUGCGCAAUGGGGGAGACCCUGACGCAGCAACGCCGCGUGAGUGAUGAAGGCCUUCGGGUCGUAAAGCUCUGUCAGAGGGGAAGAAAUGCAGGGGUGCUAAUAUCAUCUUUGCUUGACGGUACCCUCAAAGGAAGCACCGGCUAACUCCGUGCCAGCAGCCGCGGUAAUACGGAGGGUGCGAGCGUUGUUCGGAAUUAUUGGGCGUAAAGCACGUGUAGGCGGUUUGGUAAGUCUGAUGUGAAAGCCCCGGGCUCAACCUGGGAAGUGCAUUGGAAACUGUCAGACUUGAAUACGGGAGAGGGUAGUGGAAUUCCUAGUGUAGGAGUGAAAUCCGUAGAUAUUGGGAGGAACACCGGUGGCGAAGGCGGCUACCUGGACCGAUAUUGACGCUGAGACGCGAAAGCGUGGGGAGCAAACAG